rnacentral:sRNA from 20 species
UGUUGGAAUUAUUCGAAACAGCACAGCGCGUUAAAAUAAGGCUAGUCCGUAUUCAGCUUGAAAAAGUGAGCACCGAUUCGGUGCUUUUUUA